rnacentral:rRNA from 1 species
AUCCGGAGGGGGUUAGCGUUGUUCGGAAUCACUGGGCGUAAAGCGCGCGUAGGUGGAUCAAUUAGUUGAGGGUGAAAUCCCGGGGCUCAACCUCGGAACUGCCUUCAAUACUGUUGAUCUUGAGACCGAGAGAGGUGAGUGGAAUUCCUAGUGUAGAGGUGAAAUUCGUAGAUAUUAGGAAGAACACCAGUGGCGAAGGCGGCUCACUGGCUCGGUACUGACGCUGAGGUGCGAAAGCGUGGGGAGCAAACAGGAUUAGAUACCCUAGUAGUCC